rnacentral:rRNA from 1 species
ACGCACGUGUGAAACUUGAAGGAAUUGACGGAAGGGCACCACAAGAACGCGUGGAGCAUGUGGCUUAAUUUGACCCAACGCGGGAAAUCUUACCGGGUCCGGACACACUGAGGAUUGACAGGCAAUAUUAAUUUCGAAUUUCGGUUCGUUAUUAUGUUAAAUAUGCUAGUCCUUUCAUGAUUAUGUGAUAGGUGGUGCAUGGCCGUUCUUAGUUCGUGGAGUGAUCUGUCUGCUUAAUUGCGUUUCACUAAGGGCCUAUAAAUUUACGUGUGUUGCGGCACUUUGACCCCUCUUAAUUUAUUUUAAGAGCGCGCGUCUUAGUUUGUUUAGCUCACACAAUUAGGUCCUGAAAGCAACGAACGUGACCG